GAGUUUGAUUAUGGCUCAGGACGAACGCUAGCGGCAGGCCUAACACAUGCAAGUCGAGGGGUAGAGUGCUUCGGCGCUUGAGACCGGCGUACGGGUGCGUAACGCGUGUACAAUCUACCUUUUGCUAAGGGAUAGCCCGAAGAAAUUUGGAUUAAUACCUUAUAGUAUUAUUUGGUGGCAUCAUUAAAUAAUUAAAGCUACGGUGGCAAAAGAUGAGUACGCGUCCCAUUAGCUAGUUGGAGUGGUAACGGCACACCAAGGCUACGAUGGGUAGGGGUUCUGAGAGGGAUGUCCCCCACACUGGUACUGAGACACGGACCAGACUCCUACGGGAGGCAGCAGUGAGGAAUAUUGGACAAUGGUCGGAAGACUGAUCCAGCCAUGCCGCGUGCAGGAUGACGGCCUUAUGGGUUGUAAACUGCUUUUGUAUGGGAAGAAUAAGGUCUACGUGUAGAUUGAUGACGGU
rnacentral:rRNA from 1 species